UUCAACUUUUCUUCCCCCCCCCAGAAAUCAGAUUGCCAUCACAGAAUUGCCUGAGAUAAAGACAGAAGUCACUGGCUCUUUUGGAUAAGUAACUACCAUUGCUGUUCUAGGAGUGACAGUUACCCGUGGGCUGUGUGAGCGAAAUAUUAAACCAUACUCUGGUUUCUCUUCAGAUCGUAUAAAUCUUUCGCCUUUUACUAAAGAUUUCCGUGGAGAGGAACAAUUCUGAGUGUUUACCCAAUUUUUUGAGGCCUUGCGCUUGCAGGGCUUAUCAAGAUACCUGAAUACAGAUCACAGUGG